GUGAAUCAUCAAAUCUUUGAACGCAAAUUGCACUCUCCUCGGAGAGUAUGCCUGUUUGAGGGUCAGCCUAAAAAAAAAUCGACAUCGUUGCUGUUCCGCGGUGACGUUCGUCGGAAAUUGGGUCAUCUUAAAUCCUUUUAUUUAAGCGACUUAAAAUUUUUUUUUUGUUUCAUUAACGUUUCUAAGAACUAUUUCCUUUCACGUUUAAGGGAUUGAAU
rnacentral:misc_RNA from 1 species